GGCAGGCUUAACACAUGCAAGUCGAGCGGAAACGAUGGGAGCUUGCUCCCAGGCGUCGAGCGGCGGACGGGUGAGUAACGCGUAGGAAUCUGCCCAGUAGAGGGGGAUAGCCCGGGGAAACCCGGAUUAAUACCGCAUACGCCCUACGGGGGAAAGGCCGGGAUCUUCGGACCGGUCACUAUUGGAGGAGCCUGCGUGAGAUUAGCUUGUUGGUGGGGUAAUGGCCUACCAAGGCGACGAUCUCUAGCUGGUCUGAGAGGAUGAUCA
rnacentral:rRNA from 1 species